UGAAUCUAACAGCCUUCUUUAGAAACUGCUAAGUGCACAGCGUCCUGGGAACACAGAAAGACACGGAAACCCGCCCAAGAGCAGGGGCUGGUUUCCUGUCUUCCCUGACCUUGACACUGGGACGAGCUCUGCAGAUCUCCAAGAAACUGAGUGACUUGCAUUUAAGGGACCGUGGAGUAUAAAAGGAGCAACUGUGGUGUCUACCUCACAGGAUUAUUGCAAUAACUGAUACGAGGGAUGUAUGUGAGCUAAAUGAGAAAAUGUACUUCGUUCAGUGCCUGGCAUUGGAUGAGUCCUCGGAAAUGUUAACAAAAAGAAAACGUACGUGCUUCUGAAUUAGAAGAUCUGGAGGGAAUGGUAACAUCCUCACAAAGACAAUCAAAGAAGGAAACGUAUUGCAGAAAGAUUCUUCAUCUCUUCCCCUGCAUGAGGAUCCAGUGAGAAGAUGUUCAUCUAUGAACCAGAAUGAAGACACUGAAUCUGCUAGUACCUAGACCUUGCAUAGCCUCUAGAACUGUGAGCAAUACAUGCAUGCUAUUUAUAAACCCCCCGGUUUACAGCAUUUUGUCUCUUUGAUGGUGAUGGACCAAGUAAGAAGUGGAAGGAUUCACAGGGACAAGCUCACUACUAAAGGGUUGGCAAAGAUGGUGCCAAAGACUUAAGGUGGAAGGAGGGACCAGAAAUGGCUAAUGGGGAGUGGAAACAGGAGUUACCAGGUACAUACAUUUACACACACGCACACACAUUCACACGAGCACACAUGCACACUCACCCACACACAAUGGCUCAGAAACACUAGGAAUGUAGAUAAGUGGUGAUUCACAAUUUUAAAGUAGAAUCAAUUUACAGUACUGCUUUUAAAUUGUGAGAUAUAAACCACGAUAGGAAAGAUGGUCAAAUGUCUCCCUUCUUUCAUCUUAAAGUUGGUUUUUUUUCAACCAUGUGAAACAGAAGUCACUUUCUGUGCAGUGUGAAAGAACUUGCGUGGGGCCCUCUACUUAAAAUUUUGCCAAUUGUUCCCUGCAGGGUGGCCGGUGUGGAGAGAAAUGGAGGGUAAAUCAAGUCUCCAUUUAAUUUACCAUGCUGUCUCCCUAGUAGCCAGGCUCCCCGAAGGUGGCACCUUUGUUUACUUGCAUGAGCCUGGCAGCUGCACGGGGAUUCACACAAGGAAUCUCUUUCACUGGGGUUGGAGGCAAUGUGGAUCUUCAAAAGUGGGUCAACCAGGCCCUAUGUGGAACGCAGUGAUGUGAAUAUCCCCUUAUCUUACGCCACUCCACGCCCACAGUGUUCUUCCCUAGAAAGGUUUUCUGUCUAGUAUCAGAGAAAGAAACAAAAAGCUAUACAUCAAUUUGUUUAUUGCUCUAAAGCAUCUGUUUCUUUGCUAUGUUUUGCAAGGAAGCUUGGCAUCUCAUAUUCAUAAAUGAGUUGCUUUGGGUUUAAUCGUGCAGCUAACUUGAGCUAUAAAGCAGAAUUCGUGGCUGCCUGGAGAGGAUUUUGAGGAGAAGCAAAUGAGCCCACAGGGCUACUUUGCUUAGAAGACAAUCCACAUGCUAAUGACACUCCCUGCAAGUGAUAUGCAGCUAGCUCUCAGUCUUGGGGGUGUGAAGGAGCCUGGUACCCCAUACAAGCUGGGAAACAAGAGUUGAUUUCUGAUGGUCAAGACCAUCAGGAAGAGGCUGACAGAGCCAAUUUAUGUCUGAUGGUUUAUUAAAAUUCUCUGAUUCUCAGAUUUCUGGCAACUAGUGGGUGAUACUAUGAAGACCCACUACAAAGGCGUUCACUUUCUUCCCAGCAGAAGGGCAUCUCUGAUAAAAAUCUAGGACAAAAUGCAAUCUAUAGGGGCACACUGGGAGACCACUCUAGGGAGUGAAAUUUCACAGCAAUAGCCUCAAGGCCAAGCAUUCUACUUGUUAUAAGUUGGAUCAAAAUAUUCCCCUAAGGGCUCAAGUGUUCAGAGGUGAGGUUUGGGGAAGGCUAACCUCAUGGACAGACUAAUCUGCUAAUGAAUCCAUAGCUGAACGUGCUAUUUGGAACUGGGCCCGGUUGGAGGAAGUGGGAAGUGAGGCAUAAUUUCUCACUGGUGUUCCCUUAGUUGCUUGAUUUUUCCGGCCCUUGAGUUUAGCCUCUAUGCCACGGAGACAACAAGAACAACACAUUACAGAGGGGUCAUGAGGAUUACAUGAGAUAUACAACGAGGUGGCAGAAAGCUCUUCAAUGGUCUCUAACACCGAAUACACACCCUGUCGGUAUUAGAUGCCACACUAAACAUCUGUACGGUGACCUUUGGGUCAAGUGGGUCUGACUUCCCUUCCUAACCCUGUGUUUUUUGUUUUCCUUUCAUGAUUUUCCUUCUCCCUUCUUUGCCUAUGGCAGGGAAAUGAUGGACUGCCUGUUCUGGUUUCUAGGAGCAGGUCUGGAAGCCACCCCUCUGAGCUUCCUCUACUAGACCUAAAAGAGGCUCCAGAUCCCUGUAGUGGCUGGCUCAGUCCUCACUUCUCCUAAAGGCAGUUCCCAAAGACACACUUAAGGGGUACCUGUAGAACGCCUCAUUUUGGCCUUGAGUUCCCAAUCUGUUUCUUCACCUAACUUUGCCAAGAAUACAAAAACGAGAUUUUAGCUCCUACCUGAACCUAUUCUUCUAAAUUUUAAAGUUCAGGACCAGGAAAUGAGGAAGGGAUGUGAUUAAUUGCUAACUUCAAAAGACCUCAACCAACAUCUAAUAUUUUAUCCUCAAGCCAAAUGUAAUGAAACUCAAAAAACAAAAAUUCAGUUAAGUGGUUUAUUCCAGCCACUCUGGUGACUUCCAAAGACAUUCACUUCAUUUUGUGUGUAGUGUUGUGAUUCUUUGACCUUCCCAUUCAUCCUACACAGCACAUAUCUGAUUUUUCUUCCAGGUACUAGCUUUUCAAAUAUUUCUACCUUAGGCAACUUUUGUAUUCUCACAAAAUAGCUACUACAAACAUCUGUACCUUAGAUAACUUUUGUGUCCUGACAAAGGAGCUCCUAUUCCUUGUAUCCUUAUUCAUUGUGCUGGUUUUUGUAGUUUUCUUGCCUCUCUGGCCUCUCUCCAAUUUGUAUGACUCUUGAAAAGGGUGUGACACCCUCGGACUGCAUUGCUGGACAGUCGUUCUGGGCAGCAGUUGUCUGACAGCUAGGCUGGCGGGACCCUCCCUGAGCUGCUCUGCUGUUGUGUGACUUUCAGAGGCACAAAUGGUCUGUGUGCUCAGGAAUUGGUAUCUGUUUACAGUUUAUAAUAUUCUGCAAGCACUAUAAAGUGAUCUGAAUUUUCCCCAAAUGGAGCAUAUGGAUAGUAGGAAUAUUACCGCGGACUGGGAAUAUCAAUGCAGCUAAGUUCACCUCCCUUGCUGAUCCCUAAGACUCUCCUUGGAAAUCUCACAUAUGCUACUUUUUAAAAUGUGAAGUUGGAAAUAAAGAUUUUCAUGUGAAAUUUCUCAGUUAUAAAAUGUUGGCAAAUGUUUUUAAAACAACAUCAACAGCUACUAAAAAAAAAAAAAU